GACUCUAGGCCAUGGAUAUCUUGUCUUUCGCAUCAAUAAAGAACUAUAGCGAAAUGAGAUACUUGGUAAUUGAUAUGAAUUGCAGAAUCCUAUGAACCAUUGAGUCUUUGAAUUCAUCUAAGACAUAUAAAACAAAACGGAUGUAGCAUAAGUUGCA
rnacentral:rRNA from 2 species